rnacentral:rRNA from 1 species
UACGGAGGGGGUUAGCGUUGUUCAGAAUGACUGGGCGUAAAGCGCGCGUAGGCGGAUCAUCAAGUCGGGGGUGAAAUCCCGGGGCUCAACCCCGGAAUGGCCUUCGAGACUGGUGGUCUUGAGUUCGAGAGAGGUGAGUGGAAUUCCGAGUGUAGAGGUGAAAUUCGUAGAUAUUCGGAGGAACACCAGUGGCGAAGGCGGCUCACUGGCUCGACACUGACGCUGAGGUGCGAAAGCGUGGGGAGCAAACAGG